rnacentral:misc_RNA from 1 species
UUUAAUUGAUCAUCUAGGUGUCUGCUAAUUGCUCAUAUUUAUUUUUCUGUGAGAACUACUCAAGAAUUUAUCUAAUUCUUUCAUAGAUAAUAUUUUACAAAACAAAUGAAUGUGACACAAGAUCAAGACAGGCCACAAUGCAUUGACAUGACAACUCAUGACAAUCUGACAUCGACAAGGCAUGACAUAUGAGAUUUAGUCUGAAAAAUAUCUCUUUGCCCUGCCUUACUUAUCUAAAUUAUCCGAUUUCUUUUAGAUUUAAGAAUUUUAAAUUCAAAUCCAAUAAGUAAUUGGAAAUAAAGUAUAUCCAAUUUAGUACAAAACCACUGCAGCCAGAGUUUAUUUACUCAAAGUGAUAUUACAAAUUGGAAAGAUUAAAGAUCGUUCUAUAUAAACUAAUAAUCAAUCGAAAUAAAUAUAUAUAAUUGCAAUAUGAGUAAUGUUGAAAUUACUGAAGUAAAUGAACUAAAUGGCAAUGUAAAUCAAGAUAAAGUGCGAAAAGGAUGGGUUAAAUUCGACGAUGAAUCUCCAAAGUCCGCAGAAAACGAUGUGCCACCAAGUGUUUCCUCCCCCGAAGGAGCGAGUACUUCUGCAACAGCUCAGUCUGCUGCAGUACUGAAAACGGAAACCGUACAUAUAAACUUGGAAAGAGGAGAUAAAAACAUUGAGCCCAUAUCAUUAGUUACAUUAUCCAAAAAUGUCGAGUUUGUUAAUGUUCGUCAAGGAUUCUCUAAUGGUGAUAUAAUUGUGACUCUGCUGCCUGUGAACACUAAAUGGCCCUGGGUGACAGCAGCACACUUCCGGCCAGAACUAGUGCCAGAGGAGCUCAUGGCACAGGGACUAACUCUGACAGUGGAGGAAUAUGUUCAUGCAAUGGAACUGCUUAUUAACGAUGCUCGUUUUACAUUGUAUAACAUAUGCUACAAGCGUGUGCUUGUUUGUUGGAUAACGCUUGCAUUUCUUGUGCUGCUAGCACUGUUGUUUUCUGGCCUGACUGGACUGAUAUUGUUUUCAUUGGGUGUGUUAUGGCUGAUUCUCAACGCAGCUGCAAUUUUCCUGUGCAUGUGGAUAAAGUUGAGAUUAUCAAAAGGAUUGGAACAAUGUUUAGCAAGAGUUAACAAACUGCUAAGUAAACAUAAAUUGAUCCUAGCACUUGAUGAUAGAGGAAAGAUUUCAUGUCAUAAAGUAAAUCUAUGCUUUAUUUACUUUGAUUCUGGACCAUGUAUUGCACACAUACAACAGUUCAUUGAAAGUGAAGAAGGUAAAACAAUAAUGCAGGGCUGGGAACAGAGACUGGAUGUGCCAACUAAUGAUAUUGUAAUCCAAGGAACACAGUCAACCAGGUUGUCCAGAAAACAGGAAAGGGGGUGUCUUCUAUAUCUGCGGUAUGCUGGACGCUGGGGGUCACAGGCUGUUAAAAAUAGACUUAACCUCAGCAGCCUGGUGCCUGGUCGCCACGGCGAGAAAUAUGUAUGUCCUUGUCAGUUUAUAGAAGAACACCUUAAGGUCAAACCUCCUGCGGGUAUUGCAAAAUAUUUUACUCUUCCUAACCAAAAUGUUCAAGUUUAUUAACUAACUUCAAACUUAAAUAAACUCAUAUGUUCAUGCAUUCGCUCAUAUCAAAGUACCUAUGUGUAUCUGUCCGUCCAUUUAGUAUUAAUAACAUAUCAUUAUAAUUAGAAAUAAUGAAAAACGUACUUAAAUACCUAUAUGUUUACAUAUUAUAUGUUAUUGUAGUUUAAUAUUAUUAAGGUACACUUAACUAACUAAUAUUGCAUACUGCAAUGGUUAAAGAAUAGCGCUCUCAUCGCUCUGGGGUGCCUCAUGUCUCGUUACCCGCACGAAUAUUUAUGAAUGUGGCUAGACUAAAUUUUUUUAACAUAGAAUUUCAUGUGGUCUAUAUGUACCACCAUAUAAUAUACAUUAGUGAUGAGAGCUGUUCUUAAAAAUCAUAAGAGUUGCCAUAAGUCUACUUACGAAUUCGGCCAAAGUUUGGGUAAACAAAGAUGUUUAUUUUUUAUUAUCAUCUCACGAAAUGCUCAAUUUCUAUCAAUUUACUUAACAGCACUAUCAUUUUUAAGAUGAGAUGCAAUAUUAUAUAAAGCUUAAUCUCAAAUUAAAUCUCAGCUUAUUUUAUUCAAAUUGUGUUUUAAAGUUUAUAUAAUUAGGUUGUUUUAUCAAGUAUUUGUUUCUAGUGGCCAUACAUUUAAGUUUUUACUGUUGUACAGAAAUAAGUAAUUUUAUUGGAAUAUAAUUUAGUUUUGGAAAAAAUCUGCUUUGUCGUAGUCUUUACAAGUUUAGAAAUUAAGCAUAUUUAUUAAAGUACCUACUUAUUUACCCUAUGGCAUAUAAUAUCGAUUACCUUUAUGAAAUCAAGAAUAAAAACUUUAUUAUUGUGGUAAUUGCCAAAAUUACCAGUAAGUAUUGUAAAAAUAUAUGAGUCUCAAAAUGUAUAAACAAUGUAUAAUGCUAAUACCUAGACACAGAUAUGGAAACAAUGAAAUCACAGUUGCACAGCCUAGUCAUCAACUUCUCAAUGAACUAAUUUAUACACAUCAUCAGUGUGCUGAACUCUAUUUAAAACCAAAGCUCAAAGUGUGAAAUUGUUUCAGAGCUAAUUAUUUUCGAAUGGUUAUUUUUUUAGAUCCUGUUAGUAAUCAUUAAGGGUAAAGAGUAUAAUUUUACGAUCGUAGAGGUAUAUAGUGGAAGCACUACACUUACCAGUUUAAAAACUGUAUAAGUAAAAUACAUUAAUUACAUUCCGUUUUUUUUAAAAUAUUGUAAAUAAUGCUCGCGUGAUUUUGAGGGAUGUAUAUUUCAUUAAAGAUGAGACAGUGUAUUAUAUAUUUGCUAUUACAAUAGGAACGCGGCAAUAGUAUACUAUAUAAACAUGAUUAAGUACUAAAAUAUAUGUAAGUGAACAGGUAUUCGUAAUGUUGUGAUUAAUGGAAACUUAUUCCGUCCUAAAUAUGAGAAGUAAUAGGAACUAAAAUAUAUUAAUUAGUAUACCUUUACUUACCUACAUAUUAUUAUUUUUAUGUAAUUACAUUAUGUUGAAUAAUAUAUACAUAUUUUUAAUGUU